AUGCAAGUCGGACGGGAUCCGUCGGAGAGCUUGCUCGAAGACGGUGAGAGUGGCGCACGGGUGCGUAACGCGUGAGCAACCUACCUCUAUCAGGGGGAUAGCCUCUCGAAAGAGAGAUUAACACCGCAUAACAUAUGUGACCGGCAUCGGUUGGAUAUUAAAUAUUUAUAGGAUAGAGAUGGGCUCGCGUGACAUUAGCUAGUUGGUAGGGUAACGGCUUACCAAGGCGACGAUGUCUAGGGGCUCUGAGAGGAGAAUCCCCCACACUGGUACUGAGACACGGACCAGACUCCUACGGGAGGCAGCAGUAAGGAAUAUUGGUCAAUGGGCGGAAGCCUGAACCAGCCAUGCCGCGUGCAGGAUGACUGCCCUAUGGGUUGUAAACUGCUUUUGUCCAGGAAUAAACCUNUAUACGUGUAUNNAGCUGAAUGUACUGGAAGAAUAAGGAUCGGCUAACUCCGUGCCAGCAGCCGCGGUAAUACGGAGGAUCCGAGCGUUAUCCGGAUUUAUUGGGUUUAAAGGGUGCGUAGGCGGCCUAUUAAGUCAGGGGUGAAAUACGGUGGCUCAACCAUCGCAGUGCCUUUGAUACUGAUGGGCUUGAAUCCAUUUGAAGUGGGCGGAAUAAGACAAGUAGCGGUGAAAUGCAUAGAUAUGUCUUAGAACUCCGAUUGCGAAGGCAGCUCAUCUAAGCUGGUAUUGACGCUGAUGCACGAAAGCGUGG
rnacentral:rRNA from 1 species